rnacentral:rRNA from 1 species
GACGAACGCUGGCGGCGUGCUUAACACAUGCAAGUCGAACGGAAAGGCCCUGCUUUUGUGGGGUGCUCGAGUGGCGAACGGGUGAGUAACACGUGAGUAACCUGCCCUUGACUUUGGGAUAACUUCAGGAAACUGGGGCUAAUACCGGAUAGGAGCUCCUGCUGCAUGGUGGGGGUUGGAAAGUUUCGGCGGUUGGGGAUGGACUCGCGGCUUAUCAGCUUGUUGGUGGGGUAGUGGCUUACCAAGGCUUUGACGGGUAGCCGGCCUGAGAGGGUGACCGGCCACAUUGGGCCUGCGAUACGGCCCAGACUCCUACGGGAGGCAGCAGUGGGGAAUAUUGCACAAUGGGCGGAAGCCUGAUGCAGCAACGCCGCGUGCGGGAUGACGGCCUUCGGGUUGUAAACCGCUUUCGCCUGUGACGAAGCGUGAGUGACGGUAAUGAGUAAAGAAGCACCGGCUAACUACGUG